CUAGAAGACCAACAGUGGUGCUACAGUAAAGACAACAACAGGGCAACGAGGGGCCAACUGUGCUUCCAGGAUGAAUGCACUGUUGGCUGAGUGAAAUGGGGAUUCCCCAGGGACUGGAGUUGCUGAGGAACCCAUGGUUCUGGCUGAAGAAUCUGAGGAAAUAGCCACAUGGCCUAGAGAGGAGGAGAGGUCGGUGAUGGGCAGCUGCUUCCAGCAGAGAGUGUGAAUGAAGCUUGGUGAUGAAGCCAUGUGCUAUAUCUGCUGCUGUGAAUCCAGAGCAGAAAAGGACCUGUUUCCGCAGGGCAGACUGACAGGCAGACAAAAGCAAUAUGAUCUCAGGAAACAAGAGCCAGAGGAUUCACAGGAUGGCCUCUGUGUGAUGGCAAAAGAAGUUUCCAACAGAAGCAACAAUGGACUCCCAGGACAGAGACUGGCAGGAUUAUUUUAGGUCUCCUGGAAGAGUCUCGCUGUCAUUAUCUUGGAAUUAAGAAAGCACUGUGAUUCUGUGAGACCCGAGAACAGACGUCUGGUUCGUUUUUCGUCCUUGCCCUAAAAGUCAGUUUACUUAUUGGGAGUGUGAGUGGGGCAGGGUUAAUAUGCCUCCUCAGGGAUGCUGAGCUGUGCCGUUCUCCCUCCCACGGUGCUAUAGCUGCAGUUGUCCCUGUGCAAAGCCUUUGCUUUGGGUAUUUUGUGACUGUCAACCGUGUGACUACAGCAAGGACGUCCGAUUCUGGGACGGCUGUGCGCAGCCGGCACUGUGGCCAGGCUGGGGCAGACGCAGGCACU